UACGAAGGGGGCUAGCGUUGCUCGGAAUCACUGGGCGUAAAGCGCACGUAGGCGGACUCUUAAGUCGGUGGUGAAAUCCUGGAGCUCAACUCCAGAACUGCCUUUGAUACUGAGAAGCUUGAGUUCCGGGAGAGGUGAGUGGAACUGCGAGUGUAGAGGUGAAAUUCGUAGAUAUUCGCAAGAACACCAGUGGCGAAGGCGGCUCACUGGCCCGGUACUGACGCUGAGGUGCGAAAGCGUGGGGAGCAAACAGG
rnacentral:rRNA from 1 species